UCGACCUGAGGUCAGGCAAGAACACCCGCUGAACUUAAGCAUAUCAAUAAGCGGAGGAAAAGAAACUAACUAGGAUUCCCUUAGUAGCGGCGAGCGAACCGGGAUGAGCCCAACUUGUAAAUCAUUAGCCCUCGGCUAAUUGAAUUGUAGUCUCAAGAUGCGAUCUCUGCAGCUAGCAGUGCUCAAUUUUCCUUGGAAAAGGGAGUCAGAGAGGGUGAGAACCCCGUCGGCACUUGCCUCAGCUGCUCCACGAGGCGUUUUCUCAGAGUCGGGUUGCUUGCGAAUGCAGCCCUAAGUAGGUGGUAAAUCCCAUCUAAGGCUAAAUACUGACGGGAGACCGAUAGCGAACAAGUACCGUGAGGAAAGAUGAAAGAACUUUGAAAAGAGAGUCAAAAGUGCUUGAAAUUGUUGAGGGGGAAGGAAUUGGAGCCGUUGUGCACC
rnacentral:rRNA from 1 species